rnacentral:lncRNA from 10 species
AUAUUAGAUCAGAACUUCCCAGGGAGCGGCCCAGGGAUCUGGAUUUCCAGUGCAUGCCCUGCGGUGACCCUCACUCCAGAAAGCUCAGGCCCCACUGAGCUCCAGUGUUCUAUCUCCAGACAUGGAUUACACCCGGGGCUACACAGCGAGACAGCGAACCUGUGCUGGGUCACCAGGUUGAGGGUGGUGGUGAGGUGGCGACACGGAGGCCCAGAGUGAGGAAGUCAUGUAUUCAAGGUGGCAGAGCUGGGAUUUGUAUAUCAUCUCUGUACCUGAGCCCCUAACCUGCAAGUCAUAAUAGGCAACGGAUCAAUGUUAUGAUGCAGUGGAGGCCCUUACCAGAAGCCAACCAGAUGCCAGCACCAUGCUCUUGGAUUUCCCAGUCUCCAGAAUGGUGCAGGUGGAGACGGAACCCUAGACACUGCUCAUCCCAAUCAGGCCCUUUCCAGGCCUGUCCCAUUCCAAUCGGGCAUCAGAUGUGGCAUUGAUCAUCAUCUACUUAACAAACGAGGCUCCCCUUUCAAUGCACUUGGGUCUCCUCUGGGCCAACCUUGGUUCUGAGAUAGCAGGUGCUGAAAUACUGCUGAAUCCUCAAAGCCAGACUAGCCAGUGCCUGGCACCUGAUGGGAAUAUGAUUUCAACGAACAGAAAUGAAGAGACCACCCAGAAAUACAGACCCAGCCUUUCAUUCUCUUAUAUUCCUUAUGUCCAACAUUUAUUGGGCCCUUACCAUGUG